CUACGUGCCAGCAGCCGCGGUAAUACGGAAGGUCCGGGCGUUAUCCGGAUUUAUUGGGUUUAAAGGGAGCGUAGGCUGGAGAUUAAGUGUGUUGUGAAAUGUAGACGCUCAACGUCUGACUUGCAGCGCAUACUGGUUUCCUUGAGUACGCACAACGUUGGCGGAAUUCGUCGUGUAGCGGUGAAAUGCUUAGAUAUGACGAAGAACUCCGAUUGCGAAGGCAGCUGACGGGAGCGCAACUGACGCUGAAGCUCGAAGGUGCGGGUAUCGAACAGGAUUAGAUACCCUGGUAGUCCGCACAGUAAACGAUGGAUGCCCGCUGUUGGUACCUGGUAUCAGCGGCUAAGCGAAAGCAUUAAGCAUCCCACCUGGGGGGUACGCCGGCAACGGUGAAACUCAAAGGAAUUGACGGGGGCCCGCACAAGCGGAGGAACAUGUGGUUUAAUUCGAUGAUACGCGAGGAACCUUACCCGGGCUUGAA
rnacentral:rRNA from 1 species